UACGUAGGGGGCUAGCGUUGUCCGGAUUUAUUGGGCGUAAAGAGCGUGUAGGCGGCCAGGUAGGUCUGCUGUGAAACUCGAGGCUCAACCUCGAGACGUCGGCGGAAACCAUCUGGCUAGAGUCCGGAAGAGGAGAGUGGAAGUUCCUGGUGUAGCGGUGAAAUGCGCAGAUAUCAGGAAGAACACCCGUGGCGAAGGCGGCUCUCUGGGACGGUACUGACGGCGAGACGCGAAAGCGUGGGGAGCGAACAGG
rnacentral:rRNA from 1 species